rnacentral:rRNA from 1 species
GACGAACGCUGGCGGCGUGCCUAAUACAUGCAAGUAGAACGCACAGUUUAUACCGUAGCUUGCUACACCAUAAACUGUGAGUUGCGAACGGGUGAGUAACGCGUAGGUAACCUGCCUGGUAGCGGGGGAUAACUAUUGGAAACGAUAGCUAAUACCGCAUAAUAUUGAUUAUUGCAUGAUAAUUGAUUGAAAGAUGCUAUUGCAUCACUACCAGAUGGACCUGCGUUGUAUUAGCUAGUAGGUGAGGUAACGGCUCACCUAGGCGACGAUACAUAGCCGACCUGAGAGGGUGAUCGGCCACACUGGGACUGAGACACGGCCCAGACUCCUACGGGAGGCAGCAGUAGGGAAUCUUCGGCAAUGGACGAAAGUCUGACCGAGCAACGCCGCGUGAGUGAAGAAGGUCUUCGGAUCGUAAAGCUCUGUUGUAAGAGAAGAACGGGUGUGAGAGUGGAAAGUUCACACUGUGACGGUAGCUUACCAGAAAGGGACGGCUAACUACGUG